rnacentral:lncRNA from 1 species
GAAGAGGUUGUAUGGAGGACUUGCAUGCUCUGCUAAGCAGCCUGGUCUUGCUUUCCCAGGCUAGAGUGGUGAGUCUUGAUCCUUGGAGCCUGAUUAGGUACCCUGAUGCUGUGCACUUCUGAGCAUCCUUCUGCUCUAGCUCAGCAGACUAGACCUGGAUGUUUCUGCAAAGCAGCUACCUGCAGCAGUUCUUGGAAGAGCCUUUCUUGGCUGAGCCUUCUCUCCAGCCCAAAGAGUGACGUGGAAACGAAGGGGGAAAAUUCCACAAAAAUGUGCAGAGCAUAGGAAAUAUGCUGGGAACUGUUAAGGGCUUGGCCAGGGCCUCUUGCCAGACAAGCAGGCAUGAGGCUCAAGCCAGAGACAAGAGGAGCUGACUGCUGGACUUGGGACCAGAAACUGAAAUCUCAGAAAUCCACUCUGCCCCCACCAGUGGACCCUAACACACCUAGCUGUGUACACAGAACCAGAUGUAGAACUCUCAGCUACCUCGCCAGCAUCAUGUCUGCCUGUGUGCCACCAUGUUUCCUGCCAUGAUGAUUACGGACUAAACCUCUGGACGCAACCUGUCUUGUCCACUUCAAGGAACAGUUGCCCUCUGAGGUUUCCAGGAUGGCAGCUAACCAGAUGCUUCUCCACCCACACCUUCUGCUGAGCAUGAAUGAACCCACCAACUCCUGACUCUCCUUUCCCCUACAUUGUCCCUUGUCAGCAGGAAGGAGCCAGACAUGAACCAGCAUCCAUAGACCCAAAGAGUCUGGGAUGUUAUGGUGGAAGCUUCACCCAAGCCUCCCUCCCCUAUCUCCCUCCAAACCCUGCUGCAUCUCAGAAAGCCCACCAAAUGAUGACCCCUUCCCCAGAGAUGCUCAAGACCACUCCCACAGGGUAUUUAAACUGCUCCCAGAGAACAGACUCUUGAUUUUUCAGGUCUCCCUUUCUUGUCUCCUCUCUGGGGGGUCGGAAGACCAUCUGGGAGCAAUGUAUCUAUUAAAUGUCGG